CAGCAUCCACUGAUAGACCUGUUGCCACAAUCAGGGGCCUUUGGGUUUGCACAAGGAUGCAACAGUAUUCCUUCUUGUGUCUUUUCGUCAUCAGAAAGGUGGCUGAAAUUGACAAAAUUAAGCAGAACAUAU